CCUCUUCGGAGGCACCUGCACAGGUGGUGCAUGGUUGUCGUCAGCUCGUGUCGUGAGAUGUUGGGUUAAGUCCCGCAACGAGCGCAACCCUUGUCUUUAGUUACCAUCAUUCAGUUGGGGACUCUAGAGAGACUGCCGGUGAUAAACCGGAGGAAGGUGGGGAUGACGUCAAAUCAUCAUGCCCCUUAUGGCCUGGGCUACAAACGUAAUACAAUGGCGUAUACAAAGGGAUGCGAAGGGGCGACCUGGAGCAAAACUCACAAAGUACGUCUCAGUUCAGAUUGGAGUCUGCAACUCGACUCCAUGAAGGCGGAAUCGCUAGUAAUCGCGGAUCAGCAUGCCGCGGUGAAUACGUUCUCGGGGUUU
rnacentral:rRNA from 1 species